AGUUUCCCUUUUUAACUCUAAAAAUUAGUAGAGAAAUUUUUGACUGUGUGAUUACAAACAGAGGUCCCAUUUUAUUACUCUUUUUUCUUCUUUUUCAGAGUUUCAAGCACUGGUUAAAUCGUAGUCAUCAGUCAAGAAAAAGACUAAGAUAUAUGUGCCAUAAACUAUCUUUCCUACUGCAAACCUACAAUUUAUUUACACACUUUGUAUCUUGAAAGGUCAUGAACAAUUGUUGGCAAGUGGUUUCAUAUUGCUUGAAAACAUCUGAAGUGGUACGAGCACUAUUUAAGCCACACUGCCAAGUGUUUCAAGCAGAAGGUCUGUGCCUGAGGGACUAAACUGGAAUCCACUCUUCACAACUGAAUUUAGGGCAUUAAAGACAUAAACAUAAAUAUUAAGAGGAGAAAUUGAAACUGGGCUAUUAAAUUUUCAAUAUUUGCAUAAAUAGCUAGCACAUGUUGUAAAAAAACCCCAUAAUUAAUAAAAUGUUCAGGUGUAAAACCUGUUUAUGGUAACCAGUAGCAGUGGUAUUUAAUCAAGAAGUGGUUUAGUAUUCCAUACAUUUUUCUGUCAUUCUUUAUGCAAGUGAUUGUGUUUCAGAGACUAAGUGUAUUGCAGAACCUUGCACUAAUUAAACUAGGUUUAAAAUAAAUUAAAUUAAGUCAUCAAUUUAAGAUCAACUGGAUAGAGGAUUAAUUUAGAUUUCUAAAUAGCAAUACAUUGAAAAUUUCCCAAGGAAUCCCUCACCUUCAUGCCCACCCGAUGGCACUAUUGUUCCACUGCUGAGAAGCUAAAACAGUAUUCUGUGUGCUCGAAUGAUUUCCAGAACACUCCUCGUGUCCCACCUGCCACUUCUGCAAAAAGCACUUCAAUAACACCUGUCCCUAGUGCUCCAUAAGAGCCAAUGGGGGAAUGAUGCCUAAAUAAUCAGCAUUCUGCUGCUUUUCUUCUCAGCACUGAGAAUAACACAAUGCCCACAUCUCACAGGGUUGUAAAAUGCAUCAAUGUUUGUGGGGAAAGUAUAAUAAAAUGAAGAGUGCCAUAAAAAAUGCUAACAAAUUAAUCUUUUUUUUCCUUACAGACAGAUUGAAAUAGCAAGACAGACAUAAGGAAUGGGGAGAAUGCAAAAUUCUGAGUAGUUUCUCACUAAUUGAAGUUCAUUUUGUGCUCUAGGUUAGGGCUCUGGUUGAAAAGCAUGGGUGUGAUGAUGUCAGCACAAUUUUGUCAUAGUAUGAACACAGAGAGCAAUCAAACUGGGGUACAAAAAUGAACUCAUUGCUAAUAGUACCUAACAUUGCUAAUAGUACCUGAAAUACCACAGUGUAUCAGGGUUUUGUCUUAGAUAUGUGACCAAAAUAAACAUAUAGCCAAAUAGCCUUUAAAAAAAUCUAGAUGGCUUUAACCAUCCCAAAUCUUAUACUUCCAACACUGCAGUUGCUCCUAUAUACUCUUUGGAAAAAAAUUGGAGCUGCUGAAAACUCUUCUCUUGGACAAUAAUCUUGCAAAAACUGCUAUGAGUGUCUCAUACUCUAUUUGUUGGAGCUAUUUAAGAAGAUGUUUCAAUAUUUGUAGAUCAAAAACAUUAAUUUCAAAAUUGCCAGUUGAUGUUAUUGUGGUCCUGAUGCAGAACAUAUUUAUGAUGAGACAUUAUAAAGAAGGAAGGAAAUAUCAAUACAGUGUUGGGGAAAUCAUAUUACACAAAGCUGAAGCAAUCUACAGGACUUUAAUGAAUACUCAAUAAUGUGUUCAUGCUCUAUACAUUAGCAAAAAUAUAUUUCCAUUAACUCUAAUGAAUUAAUCAGGUCCUAAUAUUGUAGAAUUUUCUGUAAGAGUGAAAAAAGGAUUAUCCGUCAAGCAAACUGGCAUUCAUUAUUUCAAUGCCAUCUCAGAAGAGCAAUUUAAAAAAGGAAGUUUGCAGAAUUAAUAACUGCAGCCUGACUGCAGAGUUAAAAGCUCUAAUUAUUGUCAGAAAAUGCUUUGUUUCUCAGCUGAUAUUAUGUUUUAUAUUUUCAUUGGGCAAUAUGGGUCACACAGACAUCUUCUAGCAUUGUACCAACAUUAAUGGCUAAAUAAGAGAGAAAGGCACAGACAGCUCAGAUAACUUCUGAGAUAGCAGGCAGCUCCUUUAUUUAACCACACUUACUUCCACCCUGAUUAGCCUGCUAGGCCUACAAAUCUAAGACAAUUUCACCACUUACCAUUCCAUUAAGAACAGUAAAAAAUUCAUGACAAGUUAAGUCUGGUAUCAGCUUCAGUGAUCACUCCAGAAAGUUAAGGGCUUGUGACUAGAGUGCUUUUUAGACCUUUCCUUCUUCCAGCACUACCACUAAGCAGAUCAGAGGAGAAAAAUGCUGUUUUCUUUGCACAAGAAUACACUCACUCAAUUUAUUUUCAUCUCUGCCUCUCAUUCACAUGGGCUGUAAGGUAGUGUGAAACUUCUGUAACUACUUACCAUGGGAUUUAAGAAAGCUCUUCAAAUUGUGCCUCAGCUGGAAAUCUGCUGCCUGAUCACAAACAUACAGUCCCAAACAGCUCCCUUACAGCGAACAACAUUCUGCUGGAAUCAGACAUUUGGAGGUCUGAGACCCUAAAUAUGGGAUUGCCUCUUGUCAAUAGAAUUUUGUCACUUGCUUAGUGCAUGUGUUUUAAAAGUUUGUCUGAAUCUCCUUUCUUUAGCCCAUUUCUGCUAAACAAGCAACUUUUGAUGUUUAUUUACAAUAAAGUAAACUCUAAUGACAGGGUAAUUUUACUUCAAACCUCACUAAGGGUUACACAUCCUACUACUGCUGAAAUUAAUGGCCAAAAUCCCACUGAAAUCAAUGAGAACAGGCAGUGAAUACAUAAGUAGUUGGAAGCACCUCAGUGAUAUUUGGUUUAUUUUACCAUGGUUCCUUACACCGUGGGGCACAGUGAAAUGCAGCCAUGUGCCAAGAGCCCUUGGUAAUAGUAGAGUAGAACUGUACUUAUCUUUUACAUGGCACAAAAGGCAGCAUCCAGAUUAUUUCACAGCUUCCAACAUUAGGGCACAGUUAUUACUAAAAUAGAGGAAACCCUGAACAAUGUAGAUUUUUAAAGAUCGCUCCAUCUGACACUGUCUAUAAUGCUGACAGGCAGACGGAAACUUGUUAGACAAUUACAUUUAGGGUCAGAGACAGAAAAUUACAUUACUGAGUCUCAGAAGAACUUUCAAGUGCUUUUAAAGACAAACACAAAUCAAGUGCUGUCAGAGAGCUUCCAGGACAGCUUUUUAAGUGAAAAAAUAUGUUUAUCAGACCAGACUCUAUGAAUUAGUGACACUAUUACUCAGCUAUGUUAGUCUAUUCUGCUGCCAUUUUCAGACAGAAAUCAAAUUCACUCUCACAGACUGAUAAGAACAUAAUUUGAACCAAGGAAAGCUCACAUGGUAUUUCCCCUAACAUGAGAGAAGUACCUGUUUUCCUUUAACUCCAGACUCACAGUGCUGCAGAAUCUAUCUUGUAUCUUGGCUUCUCUAGUCCAGAUCUCUGCUCAGUUCUCUGGGCAAUAUCCUCGACCUGCUGCAGGGAAUGAAAGCUUUGUCACUGGGGCCUGGCUUUCCUCCUUCAUUGUAGCAAAAAAGUCAAAUACUACAGCAUGUGCUCAGAACUUCUCUGUUAAAAAUGGCAAAAUACUAUGUCCCAAGCAACAAUUCAAAUUAAAUGCUGUAAUUAUUUCUUUAUUUCUAUAUUAUUAAAGCAUUUUCCCUAAGAGACAACGUGAAGUGGCAGGAUAUAAUCCAUUUUGUUGUCAAGGUCCUUUUCAAUGAUUAUAGCUGUGAACACACAAAGAUUCUCUGCUGUCACCACUGAGACAUCAACACUACUAUCAACCACAGAGGUUACUGAGUAUCUAUUUUAGUUACUUCUAAACUCAUUACAAAGGCAGAAUCUGUUAUCCAGGAUCAUGAUACCAUUGGCCCUGACACAACCAGGGCUGAAAGAUGGAGUUGUGUGGGUUUGAGAAUAGCUGCUGCAGCAUCUCUUUACACUGUUGUAGCUGGUCUCAGGUUAACACCUCUCCUCUGAUCUCACCUGAGACAACUGCUGAUGUUUCUACUGUACCUGCCAUGGCUUUGGUUGAUUGUUACUGCUAAUCAACUCUACCUUAUGCAAACCAGAAUACAAAGGGUACAAGACUAGACCACAACCUGUCAAUGCUUUACCAAAACACAGCUUUCCUCUGAUACUUAGAGAAGUAAAUAACAUUUGAUUUGAAGACAAUUACUUCAUCUGUUUAGAUUCCCAAAGAGCCCAGAACCUUAGCAAGAACUUAAUCAAUAUGAAUAUUCUGUAUUUCUCAGAAUAACACCUUCAAGUUUAAUUUUGGAAGUCUGAAAAAAAAAUGCUUUAAUAUUAUUUAAUAAAGACACCACAGGUGAAAACAACACUAGGUAUGGAAGUACAUAAAUAUUCGGAUGAUCAACCCAAUAAAACUUUCAGAUGUCUCUCAUAGAGAAAAAAAAUCCCCAAAACAAUCAAACAAAAAUUAAUAGUUUUUCUUGAAUUUCAUAGGAACGAGUGCUAAACAUUUCUGGAAACUGCAAUACUAAGAUUCUGUGUCAGAUUUUGAACUAUUGUUAACUGCCCAUUACUUAGCAACUGUUGUUCUGGUUGAAUUAUUAGGGAUUUUCAUUAUAGUGUUACAUUGUUUGCCUAGCAUCUUUAAAAAAAAAAAAAAAAA
rnacentral:lncRNA from 1 species